rnacentral:misc_RNA from 1 species
GAAAAAGACUUUCCCCUGACAAAACCGGCUCGGGAAUCCAUCCGAGUUGAAUCAAGAACUGAUUACAAAAUUCUUGGUAGUCCAGGAAAUGAUAAUGCUGAAUGCAAACAUAUCGAGACCAGUCAAGUUCAACCUGAGCUACUUAAAUCUUCUGCAACUGCUAGUCUCUUACUAAUAUCUCCAGUGCUCAGCAGCAACUCAUCAUCUAUGUCCAAUGGACAUCAAGUUCCUUCCACUACGGACACUCCCAAUUUCUCUACAAUUGUAGGACGAACAUUGCAGAUUGAAGCUCCUCUAAUGAGCAGCUCACAAGAGAAACCUAAACCAGCUCUGGAAAUUCAUAGACCUGUCUUAAAAUUGCCAUCUGACACUGUAAAAGGACCUUUCCCUGCGCCUGAUGAUGAUGAUCUUCCUGAAUUUGACUUUGGAGCUGCAUGCGGUAUUUCACCUGCUUCAGGAAGCAAGCUGUUAGAUGCUGCAACAAUUGACAAGAAACUUCCAGCUGAAAAUUUUAUGAAAAUUAAUAGGACAUUGCUGUCCAUGGUGCCAAAUAUGCAGUCAAUGCCAGCUUCCAAUCAAAGGGGACAUGGAGAUUUUGGUUUGGGAAGGCUUCCACAUGAUGCUGUUCAGAGGAUGCGUCUGCAAAAUGAAGUUCGUGAAUAUGACAAGACUCUAGCCCUUCCAAAUUCAGAAGAAAAACAUGCUGCCAAAACUAGCUUACCAGUUAGCACUGCUGAUGUUCUCCAAUCCAAAAAUCUUUUUGAUGAUGAUGAUGAUAUGCCUGAAUGGUGCCCACCAAAUGCAAAGCUGCACAGGCAAGUGGUUCCUGAAACAGGUAUGCCAUCAAGAGCUAUUAUAUCCUCUAAAAUUUUGAACUCAACUUUUGAAGGUUUCCCUUGUGGCCCUGCUAGUCACCUCUUCCCUUCUCCAUCUCCUGGUGUCUAUCCGCCUUUCUUUUCCCAAAAACUCACCCUUAUCAAGGGUCAGAAUGUGAAACCAGUACCACCAAGACCCUGUAAUGGAGACAUGCUACAAGGUCACAAUCCCUUUAUGGGAUUCAGUUCUAACUCUCUUUUGAGACCGCCUCUCAACCCAUUUGAUGCUAAACUUCCAGUCCGUCCUGAUGGUCGAAGUAGUUGGAGACCCUGAUAUUUAGAGAAGGCAUCAAAUUUCCUUGAGGUUUUGAAUUAGCAUUGCAGAAGUUCGAACAUUGUACAUAUCCUUCUGCAGACAGACGGAAGUUUGCUUUAAUAGUUCUGUGAAUUUGUAUAUUAACUUUUAACAGUA